rnacentral:rRNA from 1 species
AUUGAACGCUGGCGGCAGGCUUAACACAUGCAAGUCGAGCGGGGGAGGUUGCUUCGGUAACUGACCUAGCGGCGGACGGGUGAGUAAUGCUUAGGAAUCUGCCUAUUAGUGGGGGACAACAUUCCGAAAGGGAUGCUAAUACCGCAUACGCCCUACGGGGGAAAGCAGGGGAUCUUCGGACCUUGCGCUAAUAGAUGAGCCUAAGUCGGAUUAGCUAGUUGGUGGGGUAAAGGCCUACCAAGGCGACGAUCUGUAGCGGGUCUGAGAGGAUGAUCCGCCACACUGGGACUGAGACACGGCCCAGACUCCUACGGGAGGCAGCAGUGGGGAAGAUUGGACAAUGGGCGAAAGCCUGAUCCAGCCAUGCCGCGUGUGUGAAGAAGGCCUUUUGGUUGUAAAGCACUUUAAGCGAGGAGGAGGCUCUUAAGGUUAAUACCCUUAAUGAGUGGACGUUACUCGCAGGAUAAGCACCGGCUAACUCUGUGCCAGCCGCCGCCGUAACAC